CAUGGUGCAUGAUUCUAGCUGAGCACCAAACACCAACGCAACUAAUAAAGUACCUGGAUUAAGCCAAUAUUAAUUGAUUAGUUGAAUCGGUUACUGCCAUGCAAAAAUCCUGCAAUGACACCAACCCUUCUCUGACCAGUUUGUACAUCCCUGUGGUCAUUAACUGAGAUGUUUAAGGUACUGCGAUGAUUGCUUAACAAGUGUCAGAAAGUUGUUUAUUGUCUUCUUGGUGUAACUUGGAUGACAAAACUGCAUGUUAUAAAUGAAGUCAGGAAAAACAAAUGGCCCUAAUUAUGAGCUAGACGGCUAAACUGAUAGUAGUUUAGUGCUCCUAGAUACUUCAUGAAUACGGGCGCUGAAGGGACUCACACUGCGCAUUUCAGAGGCUAAAUGUGAUGGACGUGUGGGCUGACCCCUCGGCCGCGAGACUCCAUAACUCAUUGCGGCUGUUCUGAGAAUGCGGGCGGGGUCUGUCCGUGGCCGCUCCUCCGGACCGCGGAUCGCUUCCAAAAUAUUUUCCCACGGACGCGCAUCACGACAUUUCUCAUCCCGAGAGUCCGACGGUCCGAGAGUCCGACGGCGGAAGCACGACGGGAAACGGGACGGAUCUGUUACAUCAUGCCACAAACCAAUCUGCCAUUUGAAAAUGUAAAGUUGCAAGCAUUAAAAAAACACCGCCUGGACAGUGUUCUAGCGGUUUACAUGCGGCCAGAAUAAUUUAGUAAUGGUUGUAAUCUGCUUAUCUACAAAGCACCAGGACACAAGUAUUGAACAUGCUAUUGAGUGUGUGCAAGGGAUAGAAGAGCCCAACCAAACCUCUCUGUACGUGUCCAUCUGGGGACCAGUGAAAUAAACACGUAUUUACCCC